rnacentral:rRNA from 1 species
GGCUUCACCAAGCUUACAUCAGGACUAACACACACCCGGGGAAACAACAUUAAACACAUAGGUCUCGCCAGGACCGACAGCAUCAGCAUGCACAAGCAUCUGAAAACAGGCGUAUAACCAGCAGUACUAAGGUAGACUAACAUGAGAAACUGGGCUACAUCAUGGAAAGGCAGCAGCAUUCAAGCAUCCGCCGCGGCAGGCUCGCUCAGGUCCGGGCCUCCUUCUCCCCCAUGCUGGAUGAGGGCAUCUUCAACCGCCGAGGCGAGAUCACAGUCAAGCUGGAACAGGGCACGCAAGGCCGCCACUGCCAUGUCCGGCAGUCGCCCCUGGAACAUCUCUGCAAACUUGACGAUAGCCUCCUCAGUGACUUGCUGACCAUCAGCAACGAUCCCCAUGCGGCGACAUAGAAGUUGCUCCGCGAGUUUGGCAAUUGGCAUCUUUCUCUUCUUAGCACGUAGCCGGGGGCUCUGUCUCUGUAGCUGAAAACCAGACACUCCAGCUAGAGUCUUCCUGCGUGUAGUUGGGCGUCUAGGGGGAGUGGAGCCUGGAGCUGGAGUUGGAAGCAGCGCCGGCAUACGCGGGAUGAAGAUGGGCGUGACAACUGCUUCUUCGUCUUCCAGCUGUUCUGGACGAUCAGAGAGGACCGUUGGUGACUCGUUGUUGGAGCUGUUGGAGUUCGCUUCAUGUUCUGCCUCCAAGCUUUGCUGAUUCGAUGCUGGCCUGCAGUUGCUGAUGAAGGAGUUGUCUUCAGGCUGUAACUCCAAACGGGGUGGUGUUGGUGUGGCCAGAACAAAUUCCGGUGUGGAGCUCGUUGUGGUUAUCCAGAGCAGCAAGGAGGGCGAGGUCGGAGUUGGGGCAGGCGUGGCCAACACAUCUUGCGUCGGCAGGAGCCUCUCGUUGCCGUCAUGCCGGUCAUCCAGUGUGAGGGAGGGCUGGACCUUGUUCACCAGGCCCGCGGUUCCACAGAGCCAACCCCAGCCAUAAGCAGAGGUAGCGAUCUCAAUCACAUCGCUGGACGUAGUGCGCGGAGAAGGCGGCAGCGAGCGCCCACGAGCCCGGCCCUCAGCAGGGCCCCCAUCCGCCGCGCGCUCCAGGGAGCCGUUCCGAGCACGGCGCCGUCCGUAGCGCCCACGGUCUUCGCGGCGCGAGUCCUGGCGAUCCUCGUCCGCGCGGCGCUCAGGCGCCCGUGACCUGCUGCGGAAGAAGCGGUCCCGCCAGGAGGUGGAGGACCGCGACCUGUCAUUGUCGCGUCCACGACGAUCUUCCCGGUCUCGGUCGUCAUCUCUGCGGUGGCGUUCGUCGUCGUCACGGUGGCGAGGAGGUGGCUCAUGGCGGUCCCUCGCUCUAUCCUCGCCGUCCACCACCCCAAAACGCCAGGUGAAUGGGUCGAUGAGUGGACGGCGCGGGAUGUUGCCGGCGGCGUCGGGCGUGUAGUCUUCGAUCCUGUCCAAGUGCACGAUGGCGCGUCGGCGAGAGCCUCUGUGUCCAAUGGCCGAGGACGGAGCACCUCCAACUCCAGUGGCAACCCGCGGGGCGAUGGUAACAUUCUGCACCUUGGGGAUGGCCGAGGGAUCAGCCGACCACGCCCACAGCCUGAGGCAGGAGGCGUCUUCCUGUCGAAGCGUGGCGACGUCGAAGUAAUGGACGAAGGUGUUCGGCCCCGGCACUUGAGCCGCGACGGAAUCAGACCAGGAGUUCAGAGGGAUGCUCUCGAUGCAGAGAUGGACAUGGUAGUUGGCUUGGAUCACGUCGGAGUGGGAGUCCAGCUUCCAGUUGGUGGCGUGGAUGUCUAGACCGUUGUGGCAGUGGCGUGGCCGAGGAUCUAGUCGUCUUCUUCGAUGAGAAUACGCGAGCGGACGGGUGGGACGCACGACGAUGGGGUGAGUCGGCGGCGGCAUCCGAACUGCGAUGUCCCCAGCGCCAGCGGCGUGCGCUCAUCGGCAUCCGCGGCGGCUGCGUUGGUAAGAAGUGCUCGUUGUGAGCGGCGAGGAUAGCAGGCGGCGGGCGAGGCUGAGUGUGCGAUCACGGGAGCCGAUUAGAGAGGAAGAAAACAAAAUGAGAGAAAAUUACGGAGGGGAUCAAGGUGAUGCAGGGCUGGAGUUAUUU